AUGAGGGCUAUUUCUUCAUCUUGCUCUUCAUUUUCUGUUUCAUCAGAUUUUUCAUCAAGUUGAGCAGUGGAUUUGAGGAUGAUUGUCCUCUUCUUCUUGACAUCUUCUUCUUGAUAUUGUGUCAUGCUUAGCUCGUGUAUCAUUAGCGAUCCUAGAAGCUCCUUCAAGGAUAAAAUAUUUAGAUCUUUGGCUUCUUGGAUUGCGGUCACUUUGGCCUCCCAAGUCCUUGGUAAAGACCUAAGAAUCUUUCUCACA
rnacentral:lncRNA from 1 species